rnacentral:tRNA from 1 species
GGGAGUAUAGCUCAGUGGUAGAGCAUUCGACUGGAGAUCGAGAGGUCCGCGGUUCGAAUCCGUGUAUUUUCU